CUGUGGAGAGUAUUGCGGCGGAUGGGGUGGAAGCCUAUAUGGGGGUCGCUGCAGGGACGCUCCGGCGGAGGUUGGGUGGGCGCAGGGCAGAUGUGGCCGGGGGAGGAAUGAAUGCGGCGCUGGCGUCCCGCGUGUGCGGGGGCGAUGUGCGGAUGCACUGGAGGGAUGCUAAGAUGGUGGGGCCGCUACCGAAGGAGAGACAUGCAAUUGUGGCUGAAACUAUUGAGAUCUUUGCCAGAGGUGGGAGGCGGGACUUGGUGAGUGGCCGCCCUACGAGGGAGUUGGCGGCGCCGUGGAGGUGUCUUUUGGCUAGCGUGGCCCAUUGGUUCUGUGUG
rnacentral:lncRNA from 1 species